UCAGCACACACCAGAAAGAGAGCAAGGAAACCAGCCAGGAGAGAAAAUGGGGCUCUUUAAUCCGGUUUCUGUACUCCACCUCAGCAAGUGGAGUAGUGCUAAAAUCGAGAUUGCAGUUCCGAAUUAGAGGUACUGUGGACACAAUUUGACAUUAUUGGCAUCCGGGAGCUAUCCCAGAAUGCUUCCUUGUGACCACUCUGGACAACACUCUCAACUCCGAUGUACUUGCCAGGAGUUGCAGGGAGAAUGACUUUUUGGAGGAUGAAGAGGAGAAGGAGGAGGACAGUGCACAAGCGACAAGUGGGGAAUCCGUUUUCCCCCAUCAAGGUUCCCUCCCCACUCUGAACUUUAGGGUACAGAUGUGGGGACCUGAAUGAAAG